rnacentral:rRNA from 1 species
AGAGUUUGAUUAUGGCUCAGGAUGAACGCUAGCGGCAGGCUUAACACAUGCAAGUCGAGGGGCAUCGUGGAGUAGCAAUACUCUGACGGCGACCGGCGAAAGGGUGAGUAACGCGUGAGCAACAUGCCCGUAGUUGGGGGAUAGUCGAUGGAAACGUCGCGUAAUACCCCGUAACAACAGAGGCCGCAUGACCUUUGUUUAAGAGAUUUAUUGUCUACGGAUUGGCUCGCGUACCAUUAGCUAGUUGGCGGGGUAACGGCCCACCAAGGCGACGAUGGUUAGGGGUUCUGAGAGGAAGGUCCCCCACAUUGGAACUGAGACACGGUCCAGACUCCUACGGGAGGCAGCGGUGAGGAAUAUUGGUCAAUGGCCGAGAGGCUGAACCAGCCAUGCCGCGUGCCGGGAUGACGGCCCUAUGGGUUGUAAACCGCUUUUGUUGGGGAGCAAUAAGGUUCACGCGUGGACUGAUGAGAGUACCCAGCGAAUAAGCAUCGGCUAACUCCGUGCCAGCCGCUGC